GGGCGACGGCGUGCCUUGUGCAUAAUGAGCCUACGAGUUACUUUUACCGGCAAGGUUAAGCACUUAUGGUGCGCAGCCGUAGCGAAAGCGAGUCUGAACAGGGCGCCAUAGUCGGUAGUAGUAGACGCGAAACCGUGCGAUCUACCCAUGGGCAGGUUGAAGCUGUGGUAACACAUAGUGGAGGACCGAACCCGUUGACGUUGAAAAGUCUUGGGAUGACCUGUGGGUAGGGGUGAAAGGCCAAUCAAACUCGGAAAUAGCUCGUACUCCCCGAAAUGCAUUUAGGUGCAGCCUCGGAAUGAGUGUCAUAGAGGUAGAGCUACUGAUUGGGCUAGGGGGCUUCACCGCCUACCAAACCCUGACAAACUCCGAAUGCUAUGACAUACGUCCGGGAGUGAGGGCAUGGGUGCUAAGGUCCAUGUCCGAGAGGGAAAGAACCCAGACUAUCCGCUAAGGUCCCUAAAUCUAUACUAAGUUGAUCAAACGUGGUGCGAUUGCAUUGACAGCUAGGAUGUUGGCUUGGAAGCAGCCAUUCAUUUAAAGAGUGCGUAACAGCUCACUAGUCGAGCGAUCGUGCGUGGAUAAUAAUCGGGCAUAAGUAUAGUACCGAAGCGGUAGAUUUUAUGGUAGGGGAGCAUUCAUACAUCACUGAAGGUGUGGCGUAAGCCAUGCUGGAGAGGUAUGAAAAGAAAAUGUAGGCAUAAGUAACGAUAAAGCAGGCGAGAAACCUGCUCACCAUUAGACUAAGGUUUCCUGAUCAACGCUAAUCGGAUCAGGGUUAGUCGGGACCUAAGGCGAAACCGAAAGGUGUAGUCGAUGGACAACAGGUUAAUAUUCCUGUACCCGCUAUACAACAAAAGUGACGGAGAUGUGUAGCUGCCUCGUGCUGACGGAAUAGCACGGUGAGCCUAGCCUUCGGGCGAAGCGAGGUAGUGAAUCAGCUUCCAAGAAAAGCGAGUAUAGCGGCCCGUACCGCAAACCGACACAGGUAGUCAAGGAGAGUAUCCUAAGGUGCUCGAGUGAUUCGUGGUUAAGGAACUAGGCAAAUUAGUCUCGUAACUUCGGAAUAAGAGACGCUCUUCGGAGCCGCAGUGAAUAGGUCCAGGCGACUGUUUAUCAAAAACACAUGGCUUUGCUAAAUCGAAAGAUGAUGUAUAAGGCCUGACACCUGCCCGGUGC
rnacentral:rRNA from 1 species